GUUCCUGUAGUUGAAGUAUAGAUCAAUGGCGGCUUUUCAAGCCGCAGGUCUUGGGGAAGAGCCAAGCAGGAAUU
rnacentral:tRNA from 1 species